AGCGCUUUUGUAAUGCACAGACCCCAUUAAACACGAUACAAUUCACAAUGACGGUGAGCAAAAUACAAAACAUAUUUUAUUAAAAGAAUAUCUCUGAAUAAUUCAUACAUGACAAAUAGCUGAAAACGAUAAUAAUAAUAAUAAAAAAUCUGUCUAAAUAAAAGCGGAAAAAAAGAUUAGAAACAUACACAGCAGCACCACACUCUAUUUAGCAUAACACCUCCCGCAAUAGGCUAUUGGGUGAACUAGAAUGUCGUAACGUAUUCCUAGUACAGAUUCCACAUAUUCCACUUAGCCACAUAUCUCUGUAAAUUCCUUUCGAUAUAUACUCGAGAAAGUGUCUUAAAUAAGUCUAAAGUUAUAUAACGUCAUAAGUCUGGUUGCUAUUUUGAUCGACGUAUUUCUAAUUUAUGCAAUGCACAUUGAUGCUAUUUUAAUUUGAAAUUAAAUGGCAUCCAAACGAUAUCUUUCCGGAGCCGAAAAAAGAAAGAAGAGAAAAGCAGAUGAAGAAAAGCAGGCUCAAAGUAAAGGUAUGUUUCGCUAAACAUAAUACAUUAUUUAUUAGUGUAGUAUUAAUACUUGAUUUAAUAAAUGUGAUGAUGCCCAUGAUCACAGACAUACUUGUGUGAUAUGUGAGAGAAAAUUAGGCCACAUUCAGCAUGUAUGUUUCAUUAAAUAAUCAAUUAAUUAUCCAUCCCACUAAUUCAUGCUAAAAAAAGGUCUCCUCCUCUUUCCAAAUUCAAAUUGAACCCACUGUCCAAUAUCUAAUGCAAAGUUUUGUUGAUAAAAAAGUCUUUAAAAUACUUUAUGUAUUUCUAGUUAUGAAUGCAUAUUUGUAUGUUAUGCAUUUACAAUAAAUGCUUUUGAUUCAUGCUUUAUUUGUAUAUGUCAUAUUUAUAUACUUUAAUUUUUUAAAUUAGUGUUUUCUGGCUUUAUUUAUGUACCAGGGUCUAUGCUGAAAUUUCUCAGUGUACCUACAGCUGCAGAGACAUUUGAUGCUGCUACAUCUGGAAUUAUUCAUAGCACUCCUGGGCCAUCCGCUGAUCCUAAGGCGAAACUUCAAUCUUCAGAAUCCCAUCCUUCUGAUUCCCAAGCUAUAGAGGCCAUUCCAACCGAGGCACCUGCUGCAGAUGUUUCAGUUCACCACAUUCUAAAUAUAGAAUUUAUUUGUAUUUUAUUUUAUUUUGUUUAUGUAUCCUUUAUUUUUAUAAUAUUUAAAUUAUUUGUGUUUCUCAAACACACUUGCACUUUCAUUUACAAUAUUUCACAAUACUUUGCAGUACUUGCAAACUUAUUUAAAUCUGAUUAAAUAUUUUUACACAUGUAUUACAUGUUGAGUUUGUUACAGGUAAUAAAAAUGUAUACACUUUUUUGUGCUCUCUUCUC
ensembl:lncRNA